GUCAGUGAAUCUUGAAAUUGAAGAACAAAUAAUUUGGAAAUAAAAGAAUUGCUUGAUGAAUAAGUAUUGUGAGUGGAUUUACGGAAUUGAUCAAAGAGAUGGAUCCAUGGCGCGCCAGUUGAGAACCACGUGAACGCAAGCGUCGCGGGUAUUGAGGUUUUAGGAAUUCAAAGUUGUCUGAAAACGCGAUGGCAUGAAAAUCUGAUUUGGUCCAAUUGUGAGUUGAACUUCAGUGGCCUCAUUUUCUAAAGAGAAGACGCAUCUCAUCUCGGUUAGAUUUAGUUCGUUCGCGCGAAAUCUUUGUCUGUAAUGCCCGAUUGCUUACACGCAUGCUGCAACGCCAGUAGCGACGUUUAUUUUUAAUUUUUAAGUCUGCACCUUCAACAUUCGCUAAAUUGCUUUUGGCAACGUUUAGACAAUUUGUUUGACUGUCGCAUUCCUGCUACGCUCAUUCGUGAAUUUUUCAAUUAUGAAACAUUAAUAUACUCCGAUCUUCAAGUAAAUUAAGAAACUAUAUAACACUGUUAUGUAUGUUAUCUUAAAACUAUAUAAUACCGUUGAA